rnacentral:rRNA from 1 species
UACGUAGGGUGCGAGCGUUGUCCGGAAUUAUUGGGCGUAAAGAGCUUGUAGGUGGUUUGUCGCGUCUGCUGUGAAAAUCCGAGGCUCAACCUCGGACUUGCAGUGGGUACGGGCAGACUAGAGUGUGGUAGGGGAGACUGAAGUACUCGUGGUGUAGCGGUGGAAUGCGCAGAUAUCAGGAGGAACACCGAGUGGCGAAGGCAGGUCUCUGGGCCAUUAACUGACACUGGAGAAGCGAAAGCAUGGGGAGCGAACAGG